UGUCAAUAAAAUAUUGGUCUGAUUUGCUAUCUUUAACAUAUAACCGCAAAAAAAUAUAGGGAUGGGACAAUACACCAGUGCAUCACAGUAUAUACUUUGACGGUAUUUGGAUUGAUACAUUUACCAUUAAUACAGCGAUACCGUAACGAACUUUUUUUUUUAUUUUCCAAAAAUAUCCGAGCUUCAUAUAUCAGCUAUUUUAAGUCCGUGCGCCUAAUAUGAAAGUACAAAAAUGGCAGAAAACCUCGUAAAGUUGUCAAAUCGAAGCUAAAUCUGGAGUGUGGAAAACUUUCGGAUUACUUGUUUAUGAAAAGUAGUGAAUACAAAACGAAAAUUGCUGUGCAUGAUGGAUACUCCCAUGGAAUUACCCUAGGAUUGUAGUGAAAAAUGAAAUCUGAUGAUGGAAACCAAAUAUUGAAAUGCAAUAAACAGAUAUUUCCUGUCUAUGCAAGAUAAAGGAAGGAGAGAGUCGAUUCUUUCAAGAAAGGAAUGGAUCUGUAUCAAAGGAAACAAGGGUAUGCCCAAUUAUAUGCACUGCAUGUUUUGAGAGUCUAGACCAUACAUAUGUUCAAAUGUCCCCGUUUACAACUGCCAAAAUCAUGAACUUGUAUUGAAGUUCUAAUUUAUGCUGUAUUAUAUACAGUGACUGUUCCAUGAUUUAACUUACCUUUUGAUAUUAAUAAGGAGUUUUGAUGUAUAAAUCGCAUUUGCAGAUAAGGCAAGAAUUAACAGAAAUGUAAAUACUUGUUAUUAUGCCCCCUUCAGACAAGGGAGGGAAUACUACAUUGCUGUUGUUGAUCGGCCGGUCCACCAACAAUUUCCUUUAACGCAGAGGUUGCUCCUAUUGAUAUGAAAUUUGACACACAGAUUCAUCAUAAUAAUAUUUUGGUCAAGUUUGAUUUAGAGUCUAAUUGAGCAAUUUUUGACUUGGAUAUGGGAAAAUCCCAAUUAUUUGCUUUUUCGUUCAUUUCUUUGUAUAGGUCUCCAAGGAAGAAGGGGACAAUUGUGUUUCACAAAUAUCUCUUGUUUUUUGAAAUAUAAAGUCUCAUAACUGCAAUGGUGUGUGCAGACAAAUUUUCAUGAUGCACAAACGCCUGUUACUCCUCUUUCAAUAAACAAUGAUUUAAUGCUUAAAUAAAUUGUCUGAGGAGUUUAAAAGAAAAGCCUGAACAUUUUACAAUGUUGGCUUUUUAAAGACAAUAUGUGUGUAUAAACGUGUAUUUAUGUGUGUAUAUAUGUUGUAGAAAGUGGAAGUUAUACUAUAGACAGGCUGUCAGGCUGUAUUUAAACAAAAGACCUCCUGGGAUGAGGAGAAAAAGAAACAAGUAGAACCUGUAUUUCUUGUCGAGUACUUGAUGAUGUCAUCAGAAUAUGAAAAUGAUUGGGAAGAUGACACAAUAUAUGAAAUCACAUCUCUAAAGUGGUGCUCUGACGAAUGUUUAAUUGGACACCAAAAGUUCUGCUCUGAAAUCCAAAUGUUCAAAAAGGCAAAGUAUAAGACGUAUAAGGACCAACAAAGAAUCAUCUAGAGACAAACCAGAAAAUAUAUCAAAUGAACAGAAAUGGGCCAUUUGAGAUUUUUAAAAGAGUUGCUACUGUCAUGUAUAAUUAGCUCACCUGAGCUGAAAGUUAUUAUAUGGUUUUACUGAUAUGCAAGCAUUUUGACAUAUACAUUGUUGAUUGUAUAAAAUUGUUAACUCCGUCCCAUGGGCAAUUUUUGUUUCUCGCAAGAGGUUCAUAUUUUGAUGUAGGUUUAUUAUCCAUGUAUAAAGAGUUGUUUAACACUUCUUGAGAACUGCAAAGCUCAAUAUGUGAUAUGACUGUAAAAUCAUUGCAAAAAAGCUUGAUGUAUUGUUGUAGUAUGAUGAACCUAAAAAUAUGCUGGGUAUUUUUUUAAAUACAGGAUCUGAUAUUACUUGUUCAACUCAUACUGUUAUAUAAAAGAAUAUUCAUUGUGUAUUUUUUUAUUGUUGAAUUUUUUUUAUGCUGAUCAAUUACAGAUUAAAUUUGGCCAUUAUGAUUUUCAAUUUUUGUCAUAUUGGCAUGUAACCAAGUCAUACUUUUUUUUAUCUCAAUUUAUUUACAAAUAUGUUUAAGUUUAUUUCCAGUAAUUAGUGCAUACAUCUUUAUAGCAUAAUAGAACUGAAGACAAUAGGAAGUUAUUUAUUUUUAAAGGGAGCUCUGUUGGCAGUUAGUUGCAGAUCUUGAUACCCAAGUAAGAGAAAGGUGGCGUCUCUGACCGAUCCUUUUGCUCUUGCUUGUGGGCGAGUGAGGCUUCCCUGUCAAAGGCUUGUAUAAGUUUAAAAUCGUAGAUCAAAUUAUAAACUAAUCACAUAUAUGAGUGAUAUAAAGUGGUUAUUUUAAUGAAUAUUUUAUCAUAAUUUGUUUCUUUUGUUCUAAGUAAAGAGUUAGAGACUAGAUUUUUGAUAAUUUAUUGAGUAAAGAGUAGUUUUUAUGGACAUCUAGGCAGUUAUACCGGACUUUUUGUAUGUAUAUCUUUCAGAGCUUGUUCCUGAAACUUGGGCGUAGACUAGAAAAUUUACGGAAAAAAUACAAUUUUUAUCUCAAGUUAUUUUAAUCUACAUAUUUAUACAAGUUUCACUUAUAUAAUUAAUUAGCUUAAUUAGCUCUAUAGUGAACAAAAUUUGUUGUUAAAAAUAUACAGGAGACAAUGCAAGAGUGUUUUGAAAGGGCUUUGCUGGCAGUAAGUUGCAGAUCUUGAUACCCAAGUAAGAGAAAGGUGGUGUCUCUGACUGAUCCUUUUGCUCUUGCUUGUGGGCGAGUGAGGCUUCCCUGUCAGUUUCUUACAGAUGCAAGAAAUAAACAAGACUUGAUAAGACAUUUCUGAGUAAAAUAUUGGGGAAACUGUUUUCUUUUUAUGAUAAGUAAGAUUGAGUUGAAUAUUUAUAGUGUCAUAACUAUAUUUUACAUUCUGUACAUGCAUAUGCCAGGUCUUAUUUCAGACCUUAAUAGGAUAGACUAGAAGAAUUUUUAUUGCAGGUGA